rnacentral:rRNA from 1 species
UACGAAGGGUCCAAGCGUUGUUCGGAAUCAUUGGGCGUAAAGCGCGCGCAGGCGGAUCAGUAAGUCAGGUGUGAAAUCUCGAGGCUCAACCUCGAAAUUGCGCCUGAAACUACUAGUCUAGAAUGUCGGAGGGGGCAGGGGAAUUUCACGUGUAGGGGUAAAAUCCGUAGAGAUGUGAAGGAACACCGGGGGCGAAGGCGCCUGCCUGGACGACUAUUGACGCUGAGGCGCGAAAGCGUGGGGAGCAAACAGG